rnacentral:rRNA from 1 species
UACGUAGGGGGCUAGCGUUGUCCGGAAUCAUUGGGCGUAAAGCGCGCGUAGGCGGCUUGGCAAGUCGGAGGUGAAAGCCUGCAGCUCAACUGCGGUGUGCCUCCGAAACUGCCGAGCUUGAGUGCGGGAGGGGUGAUUGGAACUCCAGGUGUAGCGGUGAAAUGCGUAGAUAUCUGGAGGAACACCAGAGGCGGAGGCGAAUCACUGGACCGCAACUGACGCUGAGGCGCGAAAGCUAGGGGAGCAAACAGG